GGGUUAGUAAGUUGGUCAUGCCUUCGGUAUGUACUGGCUUUACUGAUUCCUCCUUCUUGACGAACCGUGAUGUCAUUAAUUUGGUGUUGCGGGAAAUCAGGACUGUUACUUUGGUAAAAAAAUUGAGUGUUUAAAGCAGGCUAACGCUUGAAUACAUUAGCAUGGAAUAAUGAAAUAGGACGUUAAUCCUAUUUUGUUGGUUUCUAGGAUCGACGUAAUGAU
rnacentral:rRNA from 1 species